AGAAAACUAAGGCACACAGAGUAAAAUGCUAUUCUUAAAUUCUAACAAAGAUUCUCUUCUUGAUCAAGCUCUAGCCAGGCUCCUCUGAGCCCUCUUCUCAACUAGGCCUUAGCCUUGGCCUGUAAAGGCUUGAGCAAACAUUAACAUAGUUUCUACCAACUAAAGGCUGCAUCCCAAAGAUAAUCCUACCGCUCUUUAAAUUACUGCCUAAGAAAACUCAAGGCUGCCAAAACAACUUACUGUUUCAGCCUUCACCUGAGGAUGGGGCCUCUUUCCUAGUCUCUGGCGGAGGACAGACUCCUAACUUAUAACUGCCAGUUAGUAGACACAGCUGGCCUAAUCUCAUUUACACUAAUGAACCCUUGCAGUUUUUCACUUCUGAGUCUCCUGAGCCUCCACUCACCCUUCUCCCUAUUCCUUUAUUCUCCCUUUAAAAUGCUUGGUCACCUCUGUACAAAUCAAAGUUGAGUUUAGUUCACGCUGGACUCUUCCCUAGCGCAAUAGUUGCCACUGAUAUAAAAUCUGUCCUUACCAUUUUAACUAAUGUCUGACUUUGUUCAUCUUUGACAGUUCCCCAGUUAAAAGUGGAAUAACUGGGAUUUGUGCCCAGGAAAACUGGUCCAAAGCCCAGAUCCUCAACCACUAUGGUAUGAAUAUAAGCAAAUGUUCUACCACUCCUGAAAUGCACCCUAGACUGAGUCUUCUCAAGUCCAGUGUCUAGAACAAAAUCAAGUUUAGACAAAUUUAGAUUAAAAAAUAGAAGUAGAUUUUUAAAAAGAGGAGUGCAGAAGAAACAUGUAUAAGACAGAUAUGAAGGAUCCUAAAGAUUAAAAAAACAACAACAACAACAAAAAACAAACAAAAACAAAACAAAACAAAAAAACUAGUGUAUUUUUUAGGGUUGGAACAAGCCAGCCAAUCAUACAGGAAAUAGUGAGUGAUAACGCUGAAGACUGAGGAUGGCAAGGGAAAACCCCAUGUGUCAAACUCAGGAGUCUGAACAUUUUCUCAAAUGCUAUGAGCAGUCACUGGAUGAGUCUAAGCAGAUAUCAGACAUCAGCAAAUUUGGAUUUUAGAAAGAUAACUCUGGAGGCAUUGUGGAGGAGAGAUUAGAAGGGUUAAGACUGGAAGCAGAGAGACCCAUCGGGAGAAUACUGCAGUAAUCCAGAUAAGACUGGGCUCUGGGUUAAGGCACUGUCAGGCUGCAGGCCAAGGAGGCCCGGGAGAAGGAAAGCAAAACCUGGGUCUCCAGGGCAGCUGCCAGCUGAGCUGCCUCUCAGGUCACCUGGACUAUUGCGCUUCUCCCUGGCCCCACACCCAGUGCCAUGUUCACUUCCAAUUUUCUACCUUUACUCUCUUCUCUGAUCUGAAAUACUCACUCUUCUUCCCUCCAUCUAUCCAAAAAUGACGAUUUGAUCUAAAUUUCACCCUUCCUAAGAAAUUGCCCUUAAUUGUAGUCUCUCAACAACCUUCACCCUUUUUGUUAAGUUUAUCUUGGCAGAAUUACAUUGCAUCUCGCAAAUCAUUUCAUGUACGUGAAAGAGGUAUGUUCUUCUAACUGUCUGCUUCUUAAUACCCAAGAUUUUGUCUUAUAAUUCUUCGUAUUUCCUUCAAUAUCUACCACAAAUACCUUGCACACAGUAGGUCAGCAGAUGUUCAAUAAAGGACAAGCCUCCUUUAUAAGCAGAGAACUUUUAUCAGCUCCACGACCCCCAUUGGAUUAGCUGCUUGGACUGUUUGCCUUUCUCCACAGGCCAUUAAUAAUGUUGCAUAGUGCAAACUAGUUUUACACCAUCUAAAACUCAAUAGAGCAAAGAUAUUACUUCAUUUCACCCCCAAGCCUGACCACCCCAAGGAAAAACAAAAACAAUCUGUGACAUCCAAUUAUUUCUUCACAUUCUCAUCUCAAGUUCUAACUGCUUUCCAGAUGUUAGCUGGUUUUCAUUCUUAAAACUCAUAGAAGAGUUUCUUUUGUGAUUAUUUCUAAGCUAAAACGUCUAUAUUUUUCUCUGAGCUCCUUGGAGUUUCUACAGAAUAAAAAUUAUUCCCACACCAAAAAAAAAAAAAUCCUUUCUUUCUCUUAACAUAGUAUGGUGAAUACCUUUCAAAAUGUUACCUAUCUUCAAUGUCAGCACUGCCCUAAGGGUAUCCUGUCUUCUCUUCCCUUCCUAACCAUCUCUCGCUUGCCCCUUCCCAGACUCAUUAGGUCAGAGUAUUUAGUGGUUAAACUAUUUAUUGAGGACCUAAGAAUGAUUAGACACUGAGGAAGACUUCAAGGAUGACUAACUCAUGGUUUCAGACCCAAGUAUCUCUCUCUCUAUCUCCUUUAAGACUUGUAUUUCUUACUCCGCCUUAUUUUAGUUAUUUACUUGUCUUGUGGGUUAUUGUUUUGUUGGUUUCCAAUUACUUUGCAAAUUCAUAUUACCUUUUGCCUUGGAGUUGAGAAAGACCUCAUACUCAACAAUGUUUCUUUAGAAACUUUCUAUAUGUCUAAGACAUUCUACCCCAAUUCAAAUGGCUUGUUUUAUUAAGUCUCCAGCAUUAUUUCUUCAGAAUCACUUUUACUCCACUUUCUUUUGAUCUGACCAAUGCUUCUUUUGCUCUUCAAACUUUGUUUCUGAGUAACCAAGACCAUCCACAAGGCUACUCCACAUUACUCCAUCUGUUUCCUUGACUUGUUCCUAAAUUAUUUCUGAAACUAAUGGAACUGAGUGGCCACUGCAUAAAGAGUACUAUAACAGAUACUUUAAGGAGAUCCAGUAAAAAAAUAUUUACUUCUUCAAAUAAAUUUGCAGUUAGAUUGGGCAAUGAGGGGACUCGGUAGGGCUGAUCAGAGCAAAGCGUUUUUCUGACACUUGAGAAUUUAUUUGCAUAUAGAUCAUACAACAUAUGGGGGAAGACAGUGCUGAUAUCGUCUAAUUCCUUUUUAUUGUCUAGCACUUUGUAAUAGAUGUGACUAUUGAUAAAUGAUAAAUAUUAUAAUGUUCAAAGACCUGACUUUCAAUUACCUGUUAUUUUCAAUUCUUACCCAAAGCUAGAGUUUUUAAAAAUCAAAAUGUUAUUCUAUUUCCCUUCCAGCUAGUCCAUGUAUAUUAGAAAGAUACCAAGAGUUUUAGAAAAAUGCUUUGAAACAAAAAUUGUAUAUAUAAUUUCAAAAGCAAAAAGUUAGAAACUAGGUGGCUACCAGGUGAAGCAUGUUACCAUACACCAAUCUUUAACUUAGAAGCAAAUGUUCUUAGAUAAAAUAAUUGACACUAAGCUAUUAUAUACUACAGAGUAUAAAAGGCUUUACAGUUUAAAUAUUUCAAAUGGCAAAGAUUUUAAUAAACAGAAUCAAAAGACAGUCGCAUUUCAGUUUUAUGACAUAAUUCUUCAGAUAGAGCAGAUUUUCAGAGCAUAUUACUUGAAAUUAAAAUAAUCAGUAAGUGAGGUCUCAAGAAUGUAAUUUUAUUUGAAAACCUAAUUCCACAGGGUCAUCAAUAAAAGCAUUCAAGGAGUAGCUACAGUCCGUUCUUUUCACUUGAGUGCCAGCUGUAUUUGCUUUAAGCAUCAGACUCUCUGGCAACACCACAGCCUUCUACUCCUGUGAGUUGAGGAAAGGCUUUAUGAGUCAUGUGUUUUUUCUAGGGAUAUCGCACUCUCAGAAUUAUUAACUACAGAAAGAGUAAAAGUCAAAACUCAUUCAAUAAAUUCCAAUGUGCUCAGAUUGAGAGAACAGGUGUCUGAACACACAUCUGAAGAAUAACUUAGAGAGGAUGCUUUCCAACUCGGCUGCAAGCCUCUGACUAAGCAGUCCUGGGGAUCUCACAUUACGACCACAGAAGAACGCAGGCAACGCUGAUGGACCAGAAAAAUCUCUUAGGUUCAUCAUUCAUACUGAGAAAACUGCCUUCAAACCUCUCAUUUCCAGCUGCAUUUAGAGAUACAGAACUGCCAUCUAGUGACUAAGAAGGAAAAAGCAAGGACUUUCCAUGAAAAAUAAUUUUUUUUACAUAAUAACAAAGCACUAAAGUUAGUAAAAUUAACACAACUUAGCACAUCAAAGUUCUAGUAAAACUUCAAAAUGUAUAAGUGAACUAAUAUACCUAUUUGCCUCUAUAAUGUAUCUGGACAUCCAACUGAUACAUGGUAGAGUUUACAUAUAAUAAAAUAAAUUUAGAAUCUCAUCUCAUUCAUCUGACGAUUUUGGCAUCGGGUGAUUACCCAUGUAAAAGUAUAAUUUUUAUCAUAGUAUAAGUAUAAAAUCAAACAGAUCUGUACUCAAAUAGCGAGCCUACCCUUUAUCAAGUUUGUGAUCUGAUGCAAGUUAUUUUAACUCAUAUAAUCAUUUUCUUUAGCAGUUAAAUGCGCAUUAUAAUAGUUACUUUAAAGGAUUAUUGUGAGGAUUUCUUAAGGUAAUAGAGUAAAAGAACAGGUAUACAGUAGGUUGACAAUUAAUUUGAGUUUUCCCUAUCCCCUUUACGGCCAGUUACUUUAGCCUGUCAUGAAACAUAUCCAUAUCAUCUAAGAAAAGAAUCAGCCCGUAAAAUAAAUGUAUGACAAAGAGUUAAUGAUUCCAAAAGUAAGUGAUGUCAUUGUCGGGUGCUUAAAAUCGAUUGCUUCCAAAUAUUGUUCCCUCUCAAUUAAUUUUCCUGACUUCCAGACACUUCACUGUCAACAAGGAUAAGAUGUAACAUUUAUUCAAUCUAUUUCACCCUUGAGUCUUCAAGUUGUAAAAUCAAGUGUUUUUAAAUAACCUACUCCAUUAGGUUUUCUGCUUAUUGCAAUAUAUUUUACCAUGGUCCAUCGCUCAGGAAAAACACUAUAAUGUUACACACAUGAAUAUGUAUCUUGAAAUAGCAUAAUAUAGAAAGCAAUGCUGUACAUGUUUUAUCAUUGUUGAUAUUAUCAAAUACUUCCUGUUCAGGUUCUCUUUGACAUUAUCGUAUGUAACAAUUGAUUCAUAUACGUCCUGAACAUAAGAAUUUAGAAAAACUUAAUGUAUCCCUUUAAAUCACAAUUUAGCCAUGCUUUCCACACCAAAAAAAAGGCUUAAAAAGUGAGGGAAGAUUUGAGGGUACUAUCUUUCUUAAUAACUGCUGACUUUACUAUUUCUUUUUACCUUUUUAUCUUUCUUUCUCUUAUUCGCUGUGGGCUAAUCAUUGCAGAUAAUUAAGGAACCAUCAGUUGAGCCCACCGUGCCUCUCCAAGUGCCACCAAGUUGAUGUAGCCCUCUGCUCCCAUAACAAUAAGCUGGAAAAACUUGCUUUUUCAAUGAACUGUCCUUAAGGAUAGCUAACCUAGCCGCAUUUUUGAAAAGCACCCAGGUGCUGUUUUCAACCAAUGUUGUACCCCAAUUUCUCCUCCAGGGGGAGCACAACUUUCAUGUAUAACACAGGGAUUCUUUUCUAAAGGGAAGUUACUUUAUUUGAUGAGUUAUCAGAGAUCAGCAAUAAUUUAAUUUUACAGAGAAGAACCCUAUGUCCCAGGUAAUCUAAGCUUGUUGUCAUCACACUAAUCAGAAAUAGAUCCGGGUGUAAAACCCAAGUAUGUGUCUCCUCAUUUUCUCCUAGACCACCAACAGAACAGAACACAUCUUUUUACUGUUCAUUUCUAAUACUAAGUUACUGACAAAAGCAUAGUUGGGUGAAAAUGUAAAUUGGUUUGUAAGCAAUGGUUUUAUAUCCAAAAGAGCAAUUGCUAUCCACAAUUACUAUUCCAUACACGUUUCCUUUCUUGCAGUUUUUUUUUUUUAAUAAGAAAUCCAUUUUAGCAUAGCUUGCAUUUUAGCGUAAGAAAAAAAAACCCACAAAAUUUGGCUUCUUUGGUAACUGAUAUGGUUUGGCUCUGUGUCCCCAGCCAAAUCUCAUCUUGUAGCUCCCAUAAUUCCCACAUGUUGUGGGAGGGACCUGGUGGGAGAUGACUGAAUCAUGGGGGCUGAUCUUUCCCAUGCUCUUCUCAUGAUAGUGAAUGGGUCUCACGAGAUCUAAUGGUUUUAAAAAUGGGAGUUUCUCUGCACAAGCUCUUUUUUGCCUUCUGCCAUCCACAUAAGAUGUGAUUUGCUUCUCCUUGCCUUCCACCAUGAACUUGUGAGGCCUCCCCAGCCAUGUGGAAGUGUAAGUCCAAUAAGCCUCUUUCUUUUGUAAAUUGCCCAUUCUUGGGUACACCCUUAUCAGCAGUGUGAAAACGGACUAAUACAGUAACAGAAAAAAAAUAGUUUCCUGGAAAUUAAACAGAUACUAAUUAAUGUUUCAUCCACCAAAGUAAUAAGAACCUUAUUUGACUUUAGCAAAGCUCUGACAGAUUUCUUUUUAAAGAUCAUAGCCAUGGGACUGUUUGAGCAGGCACAUCUCGCAGACUUCUCCCUGGAGUGGCCACCGUUUCCUGCUGGAGCCCGCUGUUAUUGGGCCCAACUCUUUGGCUGGAUAUAGAAUAAAACAGCUUCUGAAAAGCUUGUACUCAGUUCCAUUUCAAGGCUGAUUUUGUAUGCAAAAAAUAAAUGGAAGAAAACAUCCCCUUCUGCCUGACUGGAUUCCACUGCAGGCUUAGGGAAAACAAGGGCAUCCUAGCCAGCCGGGCAGAUGGAAAGAUAAAUCGCAGAGUCUGUCACAAUCUUAAGACAAAUAAGACAGAUGGGAAUCUGACAUCCUAAUAAGAUCAUCUUACCUUCUGGACAGCAUCUGAGCGUUUUUGGGGAGUUUCUGAAACAGCAGAUUGAGAUUCUAGAUUGGAAAGGAAGCAGACAGUCAGUAUCUUAAAGGACAAUUUUCCUAUUUCUUCAAUCAGAAAAUAAAACUUUCACUAAAAUAUAUCAUUAACCAUAAGUACCAAAAAAUAUCCAGUCUCUCUUCCAAUUAUAUAACUGGGUUAUUAGGAUAUGACUACUUUUCAAUAUAUAUAAUACAUACAAUGAGAAUGCUCAUGUCAUUUUUAAAAAUUGGGAUAUUCCUAUGCCCUUCUCUAUAUAUCAACUAUCCUUAUUUGUCUCGAUUGCUAGUUUCUAAAUUGUGCCAGAAAGUCCUUCUAAGACUUUCACAGAUUAUAUUAUUCACUUAGCUGAAGUCUGUAUCACGAUAGAAGCCACUUCACCAAGGUUGAAGGAUGGGAGCUCAAAAGCCUCAUCUAACUGUUGUCAAAUUGCCCCUUGAUUUCAACAAGAGAUAACGAACACUGUCACCAAGAGACACUGAGUAAGAAGGGAUUCUGAAGCAGUUUUUCUCUUUUAGUCCUCAUGUCAUCUGAGAUUCUAUGAGACUGCAAAUUCAUCAUUCUAAAAAGACCUAAGGCAUAACCAAGUCAGGGAUUUCUUUUCGUAAGCGAGAGGGCACUUUCUUCUAAGUGAAGCUUGUGUGCAAAUUUAAAAAUAAAAGGGCCUUUAGGAUAAAAAUAAAAAUGAAAGGGCCUUCAAGGAAUUCCUCAUGCUCCAUGAAUCAGAGCCUGAAAAACCACUAAUCUCAUCCAUCCUCUGCACCUUUCAGAUGAGAAAUUCAAAGCCCAUAAUGCAAGUGGUUGUUGGCAAGGUGAAGACGAGAGUUUAUAUCUCCUGACUGUCGCGUUGCACCCCUGACUGGCAUGCAGACCAGACCCUGGACACAAGGUACAGCAGUCACUGUUUUUGGUUUUGUUUUUUUCUUUUCUUUUUUUUUUUUUUUUUUUUUUGAGAUGGAGUUUCGCUCUUUCACCCAGGCUGGAGUGCAACGGCGCGAUCUUGGCUCACUGCAACCUCCGCCUCCUGGGUUCAAGCGAUUCUCCUGCCUCAGCCUCCCGAAUAGCUGGGAUUAUAGGCACCCGCCACCACACCCAGCUAAUUUUUUUUUUUUUUUUUUGGUACAGACGGGGUUUCACCAUGUUGGCCAGGCUGGUCUCGAACUCCUGACCUCGUGAUCCGCCCGCCUUGGCCUCCCAAAGUGCUGGGAUGACAGGCAUGAGCCACCGUGCUCGGCCAGCAGUCACUCUUUAUGGUCAUUUUGACAUUUCCAAUUUAGCCACAUGGUAGCUGAUAUAUGUGACAAUGCUACAGAAAAAUAAAAGGCAUUUAGUAUUUAAACAGCUUAACAUACUGUUAAGCUACAAUGAAAGUUUUCAUUUCACUCAGAUGAGAAUCUGUCUCCACAGGGACCCACAAGGCCUGGUUUCAACUACUGUUACUCCCUAGCCUCUCUACCCACCUCCAUCUGUCCCAACUUGCUCACCAGGCCAGCCACCCUGGCCAGCUUACUUGUCUUGUCACACACCAGUCAUGCUUCUUCCAUAGGGCCGCCAAAGCCACAGUGGCUACUGCCUCUGCCCAGAGCACUGCACUCACUCUUCUUCCCAAAAUCUGCAAGCCCCACUCUGUGGCUGCUUCCUUCGGGGCUUUGCUCAAGCAGCGACCCCACCCACUCCUUGGCACUCAGCACACACUCACCCUUACUUUCUUCGUAACCUGGAUCAUCACACCAUAUACUCCAUAAUGCAUUUGGUUGCCUACUUAUUUAUACCUCUUAUUCCACUAGAACAUAAACUCUGUGAAAGCAAGAAUUUUUGUCAGUUUUUCCUCUUGUUGUGUCCCCCACAUCCAAAUAGUGCCUGGUACUUAGUAGGUGCUUAAAAUAUUUGUUGAGUAAUUGUAGGAGUGAAUGAAAGAAUAAAUGAAAGAUCAAAACAAUGAUAAGAACAUGAAAGUGGGUUCCACCAGGAAAAGUGGGGUAUCCUGGGCAGAGAAAGAGAGAGUAAGGAUUUUACAAGAGACAAUAUAGAUAUUGCCUUGCCUUUAGCUAUUUUCUGAAUCUCAGCUAGGAGUAUAUAUUUUAAAACAAAACUCACUGAGAAUAGCAUGAUGCAGUCACUUACCAGUAAGUGUCACAGUGGCAAUAAACAACUGGCCUUAAAAUACAACCAUUUUCCCAGAUAAAUAUAGCAUAUCAUUGAGCUAAUCAAAAAUGGAUUCUUUUCUCUUAUAUUGACAAAUCUCUACUCUGAACUUAACACCAGAGUUAGCCAAAUUUUAAUAAAGAUCUUUAACAGCAAAGCUAGUUAACAGUUAAUAUUAAAGCAAAUCCAAACUCCGGAACGCUCUCAUUUUCUAUUGUUUUUCGUCACUUCCAAAUCCUCCCAAACACAAUAGACUCAAGACAAGUCUUGGCUUUGUACCAGUGGGGAAAAGUCUCUCUUCCUCUUCUAUUUAGAUCGUGCCACAAGAGCCUAAAGGCUCUCCUGGUGGUACACAAAGAGUUCUUUACAUUAGAAAUGCAUAAAAUGCUUUCUAGCUUUGUUCUAUAGUCCUUGACCCGGUAACUGGACCCAAAAAGUAAACUUCUGGGCUCUGAUGGUAAAGAACAAGUGCAGUUUAUCAGAAAAACGUACUUAGAAAACCACAUUAGAAAGAUGCAUCAGCAAAAUAUUCUGCACACCUACACCCAAACUUUCAGCUCCUCUCUGUCUAAUUCAAUGGCUACCUGAACUGAAUUCAUUCUCCCAAUCCCAUCCCUUUCAUUAUAGUUUUUAUUUGUUUGAAUCUGUGUGUUAAAACACAGAAGAGAAAUUUGCAGGUUGAAAUGCUGUCUUCAAAAUCAUAAGCUGGAAAAUAGGAGUUCUAGAGGGUCAAGAUUUUAACAUGAAAGAGAUGUACAGAAUAACUUCACUGAAAAAUAAAGGGAAAAUAAAUGAGAACCACUGGGAGAGAAGAGAAAAAUACAUGAUAAGGAAAAAGAAAACAAUACAGAAUAAAAGAAAGAGAAGGAAAAAGGUAUAGGAGGGAGAAAGAGAAGGGGAAAGGUGUAGGAGGGAGAAAGAGAAGGGGAAGGUAUAGGAGGGAGAAAGAGAAGGGGAAGGUAUAGGAGGGAGAAAGAGAAGGGGGAAGGUAUAGGAGGGAGAAAGAGAAGGGGAAGGUAUAGGAGGGAGAAAGAGAAGGGGAAGGUAUAGGAGGGAGAAAGAGAAGGGGAAGGUAUAGGAGGGAGAAAGUAAAGGGAACAUGAAAAAUGGCGAAAGUGUCCUUUAGGGAGCGGAGAGAAAUUGAUGUACCAGUAAUGGCUGAAGAGUGGAGUCACUAGAUAGGUGAAUCUGAGAUAUCAGCCUAGUUCCAACUUUCAUAGAGCUCCCUAAAUGAAAGUGAUCACUCCCGGAACUCCCGACUCCCACGUUCCCAACACUCUCCUCCUCCCAGGAUCCAGGGCACUUUCAGGAAUUGCCUUAAACCCAGCUCUAGGACAGACUGAUCAUCUCCAUCGAAUAUUCAUCACUAGAAUGGUUAUUAUUUUCAAAGACUAACCUGGUGAGAGAGCUCUCAAGGGUACAUUUAAAAUGGCCACCUCCUUCACCCAUCCUUAAAAUUAAGAAACCAGAAUGUUCUUAAAAAAAAAAAAAAAAAAAAAACAGGCCGGGCGCAAUGGCUCACAUCUGUAAUCCCAGCACUUCGGGAGGCCGAGGCGGGCAGAUCACAAGGUCAGGCCAAUACGGUGAAACCCCGUCUCUACUAAAAAUACAAAAAUGAGCCGGCCUGGUGGUGGGCACCUGCAGUCCCAGCUACUCGGGAGGCUGACGCAGGAGAAUCGCUUGAACCCGGGAGGCGGAGCUUGCAGUGAGCCGAGAUCGCGCCACUGCACUCCAGCCUGGGCGACAGAGCAAGUCUCAAAAAAAAAAAAAAAAAAAAAAAAGGUUAAAUAUUCCAUUUUAAAAAGUUACCUCAAAAUUCCGAGCAUAAUCUAAAAUUCUGGACUCCCUAUGGACUCCAAAUGUUUCAGGACUGACCUCUUUACCAUCACAAAAUAAGCCUUUCACUCACGAAACAAAACAUACUUGGAUGAGCUGUGUAUUUACAGAGAGAAGACAGUAAGACAAUGAGCGGGAUAUGCCUCUCAGCUAAGAAUGGAAAAUAAACCUCCCUUUAAAAUAUACAUACAAAAUAUGCCUUCUAAAAAUGAAUGAAGUAGUCUCUAAACAGACAUUUUAAGUUAAAAUGCAGCUAUAUAAAAUUAUUAUAUUAUAGCUUCUUUAAUGGUAUAUACCAGUUUGAUUCAAAUCCAGUCAAUUUAACUGAAACAGAAUUCAUUAAACUUCAUUUAAAUAGCAUGACUUAUGAUUGGCUGCCUAAUAAAUGCAAGAUGUUUUUAAUUCUGAUAUACCAUGUCUUUCCACAAAUGAAGAUGAGGUUAAAUACCUGAAUUUUCCUAAAUGAGGCCAAUUCCAUGAUCUGCUUAUUUGAUUAUUUAAUAGUACUGAGGCUCUGCCUCUCAUUGUCAACAAAAUACAGCCACACCUAGGCUCUAGUUAGCGCAGGAGAAAAUCAAGGCCAAUUUUAUGAAAACUAUAUGUAGGCAUGUGUGUGUGUAUAUAUACAUGUAUGUAUACACAUACAUGCAUGCACAUACUAUGUAAUAUAUAAUAUUCAAUAUAUUAUCUAAUUCAAUAUAUAAUAUAUAUUCAAUUUAUAUAUAUUAUAUUAUAUAAUCAUAACCUAAUCAUAUAAUAUAUAUAUUAUAUUAUAUAUUUACAUGUUGAAAAUAUGUAAUUAUUUUUGGGAGACACAGUCAGUCUAUUCCAGUACAUUUUAUUCCUUGAUUAAGUGAGGGGCUCAGAGAGAUAGAAUACUACCAAGUCUCCCCUGGUCCCUUAUAGAAUUUCUGCAUUAUCUCAACCGAACUUAUGUUAAAACAUUUGAACAAAACACAGAAAUGGACCAGGCAUGGUGGCUCAUGUCUGUAAUCCCAGCACUUUGGGAGGCCAAGGUGGGAGGAUCACUUAAGCCCAGAGUUCAACACCAGCCUGAGCUACAUGACAAAACCUCAUAUCUACAAAAAAUUUUAAAAAUUAGCUGGGAGUGGUAGCUCACACCUGUAAUCCCAGCACUUUGGGAGGCUGAGGUGGAAGGAUCACUUGAGCUCGGGUGACGAAGGCUACAGUGAGCCGGGAUCAUGCCACCAUACACCAGCCUGGGUGACAGAGUUAAACCCUGUCUCAAAAAAAAAAAAAAAGAAAAGAAAAGAAAUGAGUUGUAUUGACAUUGCACGGCACAGAAUUUCUUCUCUUAGGAACCAUUAGAGACACUUCUUUGGGAUAUUAGUUGUGCUUCUGUGAGUGACUGUGUUUUCAAUCUCAUGGACACUGAGGAAGACACUCACAUUCCCCUUUCUGCUUUGCACCUGAGGGCUAAAUUUCCAAUUACCUUUAAAAAUGGCAGAUCCUUAUGAGAUACAUUUCACUUGGCUGUCUUAUCUCAGCUUCAUUUUAUUGUUCCAUCCUAAAUUCCUUUUCGUUUGAUCUAUAUUCCUUUAUGAUCCUUUUGUACAUUUUACAUAUUUAUAAGCUGCUCAAAUCUUUUUUUGGAACAAAGGUGAAUUACAAUGUAUUCAGCCAGUGCACAACUGCAUUUUAAAGGAUUUUCACAUGAAAAUCUUCUGCCAUGGUUCUUUGUUUCUUUCUUUUCUUUUAUUCCUUGCAGUAGGAAGUCAGCUACCAUAUUUCUACCAGAUCCUCUUCCAUAUAUUUUCUUCUAGGAUUUUCUGUGCCUUGAUUGCCUUUCUAAAAAGUCAGUUCUCUGUUUCCUCUCAGCCAUUCACAUUUUCAAAGAAAGGGAAGGGAUUUAAUUUUCCACAGAGGAAACGACAAUGAUCAAGUCCCUAUUCACAUCUACACACCUUGCUCCUGCUCCAGGUUCUCCAUGAAUUUGAAAACUCAAGUUAAUUAUUUGAUGUUGUUCAAAUCUAUUGAAUGACCUUUGAAACUUGGUAUUGAGCCCCUAAAUUGGUCCAAGAACUGUUUUAGCCCAUACAAAACUCUCCCUCAAAUCUUGCAUUAAUGUGCUAAGUAGAUGUUUAUUUAGAUCUUUUCCAGCAAAAGAAUUUCAUCAUUCACUCAAAUAUUUAAGUACAUACUAUGUGCCAGAAAGUCUUGAAAUUCUGAAAGCUGAUGGGGAAGACAUGUAUAUGUAUAAACAGAAAAAUUCAAUACGUAAAGCAUUCAGAUGACAGAGAGAUGAAUAGGAUGUCAUGGGACUCCAGAAAAGGGUCCAUGAGUGGGAAACAGCCAUGGAUGGGUGGGAGACUGCUGUGUAUAGCCAAGGGAAACUGAGGGAGAAGAUAAAGAGAAAAUGAUAAAUAGAAAGGGUUUCUUUGUAUCAAUGUUUUUGCCACCAACUGGUUUGGGUUUUUUAUUUGUUUAAUGCCACCAACAUGGGAAGCACAUUACUUCCUUUUUUCCCAGCCAGUCUUAUCCUUCAGGGGUGUUCUGCAGACUUCAAAAGGUCAAUGUUAACACUUUAGGCCCAUCUGUGGAGACAAUGCCAACUGCAGAGGGAGCCAGGAUGAGAACAAAGGACUGCCAGGAAUCUGCAACUCACUGGUGAGAAGAGGCACCAAGACCUCACCAUGGCCUCAGCCCUUCCAAUUCAUACAAAGAAGGGUCAGUUCCUUCACCAAUCCAUAAAGGAGGAAAACACCAUCUUUCACAGAACAGAUCGUGAAAAAGUUAAAGUGAGAUGCUCCCUAUGCAGUUAAAGUGAGAUACAUGAAAAAGGCAGAAGACAGAGUACCACAAAUCUGAACUAGCUGGACAUGUGAAUUGGGUAACCAAUUUUAAGAGCUGGAAAAAAGGCCCAGUGCAGUGGCUCACGCCUGUAAUCCCAGCACUUUGGGAGGCCGAGGGGAGUGGAUCACCUGAGGUCAGGAGUUCAAGACCAGCUGGGCCAACAUGGUGAAACCCCGUUUCUACAAAAAUACAAAAAUUAGCUGGGCAUGAUGGUGGGUGCCUGUAAUCCCAUCCCUUUGGGAGGCUGAGGAGGGAAAAUCACUUGAACCCGGGAGACGGUGGUUGCAGUGAGCAGAGAUCAUGCCAUUGCACUCCAGCCUGGGCGACAGAGUGAGACUCCAAAAACAAACAAACAACAACAAAAAAUGAGCUGAAAAAAACAACGAACGAAGCACGCAGGAAAAAAAAAAGUCCUCAAUUUUCUAAGCUAGACCUGCAAGUCUUUCUUCUUCAGAAAAUGUCACUGAACUCUUUCACUUUGAAUUAAAAUAGAAAGGGGUCACCCGGGCACAGUGGCUCAUGCCUGUAAUCCCAGCACUUUGGGAGGCAGAGGCGGGCAGAUCACUUGAGGUCAGGAAUUCGAGAGCAGCUUAGCUAACAUGGUGAAACCCUGUCUCUACUAAAAAUACAAAAAUUAGCUUGGCAUGGUGUUGGGCGCAUGUAAUCCCAGCUACUCCGGAGGCUGAGGCAGGAGAAUCACUUGAACUCAGGAGGCGGAGGUUGCAGUGAGCCGAGAUGGCGCCAUUACACUGUAGCCUGGGUGACAGAGUAAGAAUCCAUUAAAAAAAAAAAAAAAAAAAAGGGGUCAUGUGUUAUAUACAGUGGAUUUAACCAAGAUGUCACUACAGAAGAAUGUGCACCUAUCAGUUAACUACAAAUAGAUCAUUACUAUUAAUAAUUAUAUUAUCAAACUUUGUGAUUGAUGUAAAACAUGAGACUGUAGGCAAAGGUUACCUAUGAUACUGACAUGCCCACUCUUACAACUGACUGAUUAGAAGAGAGUGUGGUAUGGUUCUGGGAACGAGGCUGUCUCAUGGAAGUGUCUCUCCAAAUUUACGUCAGGGAGUCACAACAGAAGAAGUUUAGAAAGACCCAUUAGAUCACUCUGAUGAAAAAAUGCUAUAUGACUGCUGGGGUUUAUAGAUCAACAAGAGAAAAAUAAGUCACUAAGUUAAAUUACUUCUUACCUCCAUCAUCCUCUUCAAGAAUGCAUUUUUAAAAAGGAGACAAGUUAUUUCAUUAAAAAUCACUUGCUCUAGCAUUUUGCAAGCUACAUCAAAUCAUGAAGCAAAAACCAGGUGACAAACUUCCUGGUAUCAAUUCCAACUAUCAUCUUUUACCAAACUAAAAUUCAGGUUAUCACAUUCAAUUAACUUCGAGUCAAGUGCUCCACCAGUAUAUAUACCAGCAACAUAAAAUGUUUCAUAAUGUUUUAUAAAGUUCCCUAAAAUUUAAGAAUAUCAUAUAAAUGUUUCAGUUAGAAAAGUUGAGAAUGAUACAGUAGGGAACAGAAAACAUGAAAAUAUCACCCAAUCAAUGAUGCAAAACAUGGGAUAAAAGGGCUCUCCAUGCAACUGAUUAAUUCAACUAUAUCUACCCCUAAGUAUUUUGUAUCAAUAAAUGUUAUCAUAAAUAGAGUAGUGUAGAAAAUGGGAUCAAUACUUUUAAUUGUGUGUUUUCCUUUGAAAACGAAAAGUCCUUUUACUUGCUUGAUUUUCAGGUGCUAUCAUGUUAGAGGUCUCUGAUCUCUGAAGAUCUUUGCUUAAAGGAAGUCUGCCUUGGCCUUUGAGAAACUGCUCUCUGUAAGUGUUACGAUAAACUCAGUAACCUGGAACAACACUUCCUGGAACAACACUUCCUACACCCUCUCUCUCAUUUGUUGUUCAUUUCAGGGAGUACAGCCCACCUAGUGAAUAUCAAACAGUGUUUCAAAAGCACUGGACAUCUCAAAAGGGAGAUUCAAGGUCAAGUGUGGGCCCUCAUUUCAGUGCAUCAGUGGAAAGAAAAAAGGCGCAAAUUCAUUCCUCCAGAGACUGGGAUGCAAAUGGGAGGCAAGUGCAGAACUUUGGGUGGGGGACUGGAAUAAAACCUUUUACAUUGUUGGUCAUUGUCGGUUGAAAGGGACCUCAUGAAUAAGGCAAUGACAUGAAACAAUGAUAAUAAUUGUAAUAAAUAAUAUUAAAUACACGGAGCUAGGCACUGCAUUCUACAUUCUAAUGCUUCAUAUAAAUGCCUAUAAUUCUCAUAACAGCCCUACACAGUACAUGCUAUGCUCAUCACCAUUUUACAGAUGAGAAAACUGAAUACAGUUGUUAGGAAAUUUGCCUAAGAUUACAAAGCUAAUAAGUUGGCAGAGCCCAAGCUCCAUGCUUUUAAGUUAUGCUCUUCUACUAUGCAUCCAAAAUAAGUUUCUAAUGACUGUCUUCCUCUCUAUGAGCCAAUGAGAAAAAAAAAAUCAAAAUUCUUAACUCUAAUAUCUAUGUUACCAUUUAGGAAAAUCGGGUGGAGGAGAAAUCUAUGAAUAGCAAUGAUGUUCUUCUAUUUACUCCUCACUCAUGCUUCAGAAAUCAAUAUUUAUGCCUGGUCAGUCCACCAGGAGGAAGUUGGGAAUUUAUUACAACAAAAUGAAGAAAAGCCCAGGUGCGGUGGCUCAUGCCUGUAAUUCCAGCACUUUAGGAGACCGAGGUAGGAGAACUGCUUGAGCCCAGGAGUCUGGAUCAGCCUAGGCAACAGAGUGAGACUCUGGCUCUACAAAAAAAUUAGCUGGACGUGGUGGUGUAUGGCUGGAGUCCCAGCUACUUGGUAGGCUCAGUUGGGAGAAUCGCUUGAGCCAGGGAAGUUGAGACUGCAGCGAGUCAUGCUCCACUGCACUCUAGCCUGGGUGACAGAGAAAGACCUUGUCCAGAAAAAAAAAAAAAAAGAAGAAGAAGAAGAAGGGGGGAAAAAAGGACAAAACAACCAUAUUCCAUAAAGCAUUGAUUGUUACACAAAUAUGGUUCUCAGUUCUGUAUGACAAAUAUAAAGUGUUUUCUUAAAACCAGGCUUGGGGUCAUCAUCCUGCUGAACUCCUCCAAAUAAACCUGAGGCUGAUCUCACGCUAUCUUCCCAGCCAAUAACACAAAAUAAGACAACAAAAGGAACAAAGAGAGAAAAGACCCCAAAGUAAAAACUUUUUGAAGAUUAUAUCUGAAUGCCAUGCAAUUAAAAAUAAAAGAUUACUUAAAACUAAGAUUUAAUAAAACUUCUCUCUCUCUAUCUUGCCUCUUCCAGUUAUCUCUGAAGACAAAGGAAAGGGUUACCUGUUUCAGCAUCCUCGAGCCUGUGUUCCUCAUCGGGAGGUUUGGAUGGUGGCCCCAUGGAUGGAACUCGCCUAGGAAACUGCCCUUCUGAAUAGUCCAAUGAGUGUGUGGGUUGACUAACUGCAGCCCAGGUAUAAAGUUGAUCUUGCUAUAUUUAAAAAUAAAAAAUGUUGAAAUGCUAUUAAUUCAGUUACAAAAAAAUAAGCCAUGACUAAUACAUUGCAAAAUCAUUUCUAUGUAAAUUACUUAUAUAUGCAUACAUAUAUGAAACAUUAAAACAGCAUUUUUAUACUAUUCAGUGUAGAUUCCUAAGAUACACAUUUUUUUCACGCAGUCAUUUUAUCUUUAUAACCACAUUUGCCUCAACUUCAUUUCUAUAGUAAAACCUACGCCUCUUUCUUUGGAGGGAGAGAUGCUAUGUAGCCCUGCAGGGAAUUAUAAAAUCAGAUAGUCCAGACAGUCAAUCAGAGAACUCCCUGAACUAGCAUCUUUAAUUCAUCUGAAUAUGAUAUCCCUUUUAAAAUUGUUUAUAUACUUGUGGGAAUGUCAAAGGACAGGCUGUACUUGGGCACCACAGGACAAUAAUAGCUCCCGUGCCUUCAACCACAAAAGGCCCAGGAAACCGACUUAUCUGGGGUCCAGGUUGGAAACUGGGAGAGAAACCAUGAAACAGUGAAUGAACCUGCUAAGAAAAAAAAAAAAAAAAAGAAUUGAAUAGGGAUCUUCUGGCCAAGAAAGACCUCGCCAGCUACAGACCAACAGAAUCUGGACAGAAUGAGAAAGCAGCUAGUACUAUACCUAGGGCCAGGAGACAAACUACAAAUCUCACAGGGAAGCCUGCUCCAUGGCCUAUAAACACCUUGGAAAACUGCUCAUUAGGAUUUCAGAAUAACAAUGUGUUCAACCAUUUUAGGAUGCAUAUGCUCAAUAUAUGCAUGCCCUAUAUUUGUGACAUUUUUCUUAACUGGUUGUAUUUCCCUAAUACCUUUGAUCCACAUCAAGUAAAGCAAAGAGAAGAACAGUAUGGUGGAAGUGAAAAACAAAAAACCACUGUAAUCACUGGGUCGAGACUACAAAGUAAAUGAGUUAUCGGAUGGAUGUUGCUAUUUCUGUAUUUAACAAAUUAAGAAAUUCAUAAAAUAAUCUCCAGCAUGAACAGGAAGAUACAAUGUAUAGACCAGUUAGUUUAAGCUUUACAUUUAGGGACAGUCAUUGGUCCUAACUGAGAAUUCAGAUUCCUGGGGUUAGCCUCAGCGUUGGAUCAGAAAGGACCACAUUUCAGACCUGGCUAAGCAUUUGAGCUACUCAUGUAUCUUCCAGCUAUCCUAUCUCGACCAACACCAGAAACUGCGCUAUUUAGCAUACUGAAUAUCAGAAAUAGUUUUUCAUUGGUGAAAUUAGUGGCUUUAAUUAACAUAAUGAAUGUUAGACAAUGAGCUAUCAUUGGAGAACCUGAAGGAAUUCAAUGUAAGUAGAUUGAGUACAACAUCAGAGAACAUCCCCACACUUAAAAAGGAUAAAACUCAGGCAAGGGAUGAUGUCAAGGUGUGACAGCCGGAGAGUGCUACCUCCCACCUCUAGUUUAGGAGGAUGUCUCUUUGCCUGUUGCCAACAGUCGGUCACAGAAUCCUAUUCCUUGGUGUUUGUAUCACAUGGACCUUUCACACAAGGUGAGGUCAAGCACCUACCAGAGUGGCAAGCUGGCCACGCUCUGACUCUCAAGUCAGCUUGGAUAGGCUCUUGUGCAAACUAAUGUUGUAUGUUUAAUAAAUGUUUACAUGUUGGGCAAAACUUCAUUUGAGAUUUGCUUUCAUUAAAACCCAGUAAAUUCUUACCCCAUAUACAAAAAUUCAAAAUGGAACAAAGACUGAAACAUAAGACCUAAAACUACAAAACUCUUAGACGAAAACAUACAGGAAAAACUUGGUAACACUGUUUUUGGCAAUGAGUUCUUGAAUAUGACAACAAAAGCACAAGGAACAAAAAUUUUUUUAAAAAUCAAUGAACUGAACUAUAUCAUAAUUUAAAACUUCCGUGCAUCAAAGGACACAAUCAGAGUGAAAAGGCAACCUACAAAAUGGGAGGAAGUAUUUGCAAAUCAACCCUGAUAAGGAUUUAACAUCCUGAAUAUAGAAAGAACUCCUAACAAGUCAACAACAAAAAGCAAAUAACCUGAUUUUAAAAUGGGCAAAGGACUUGAAUAGACAUUGUUUCAAAGAAGAUACACAAAAUAGUCAACAAGCACAUGAAAAGAUGCUCAAUAUCACUAAUCAUUAUGGAAACGCAAAUCAAAACCACAAUGAAAUCACCUCACACCCAAGAGAAUGGCUAUUUAAAAAACAAACAAACAACAACAACAACAAAAUAAAGCACCAGCCUGG
rnacentral:lncRNA from 10 species